rnacentral:rRNA from 1 species
ACGAACGCUGGCGGCAGGCUUAACACAUGCCAGUCGAGCGCAUCCUUCGGGGUGAGCGGCGGACGGGUGAGUAACGCGUGGGAACGUGCCCUCUUCUACGGAAUAGCCUCGGGAAACUGAGAGUAAUGCCGUAUACGCCCGCAAGGGGAAAGAUUUAUCGGAGGAGGAUCGGCCCGCGUUGGAUUAGGUAGUUGGUGGGGUAACGGCCUACCAAGCCGACGAUCCAUAGCUGGUUUGAGAGGAUGAUCAGCCACACUGGGACUGAGACACGGCCCAGACUCCUACGGGAGGCAGCAGUGGGGAAUCUUGGACAAUGGGGGCAACCCUGAUCCAGCCAUGCCGCGUGAUCGAUGAAGGCCUUAGGGUUGUAAAGAUCUUUCAGCUGGGAAGAUAAUGACGGUACCAGCAGAAGAAGCCCCGGCUAACUCCGUG